rnacentral:lncRNA from 1 species
CCUCACCUCUCAUCCCCCUUCCUCACCUCUCAUCCCCCUUCCUCACCUCUCCUCCCUCUUCCUCACCUCUCCUCCCUCUUCCUCACCUCUCUUCCUCUUCUUCCUCACCUCUCAUCCCCCCUUCCUCACCUCUCAUCCCCCUUCCUCACCUCUCCUCCCUCUUCCUCACCUCUCCUCCCUCUUCCUCACCUCUUGUCCCCCUUCCUCACCUCUCCUCCCCCUUUUUCACCUCUCCUCCACCGCUGACACUUGCUGCCUCUCUCUUCCUCUCCUUCCUCACCUCUUGUCCCCCUUCCUCACCUCUUGUCCCCCUUCCUCACCUCUUGUCCCCCUUCCUCGCCUCUUGUCCCCCUUCCUCACCUCUCUUCCUCUCCUUCCUCACCUCUCUUCCUCUCCUUCCUCACCUCUCUUCCUCUCCUUCCUCACCUCUCAUCCCUCUUCCUCACCUCUCAUCCCCCUUCCUCACCUCUCAUCCCCCUUCCUCACCUCUCGUCCCCCUUCCUCUCCUCCACCGCUGAUGCUUGCUGCCUCCCUCUCCUCCCUCUUCCUCACCUCUCGUCCCCCUUCCUCUCCUCCACCGCUGAUGCUUGCUGCCUCCCUCUCCUCCCUCUUCCUCACCUCUCGUCCCCCUUCCUCUCCUCCACCGCUGACGCUUGCUGCCUUCCUCUCCUCCCUCUUCCUCACCUCUCGUCCCCCUUCCUCUCCUCCACCGCUGACGCUUGCUGCCUCCCUCUUCCUCACCUCUCGUCCCCCUUCCUCUCCUCCACCGCUGACGCUUGCUGCCUCCCUCUUCCUCACCUCUCGUCCCCCUUCCUCUCCUCCACCGCUGACGCUUGCUGCCUCCCUCUCCUCCCUCUACCUCACCUCUCGUCCCCCUUCCUCUCCUCCACCGCUGACGCUUGCUGCCUCCCUCUUCCUCACCUCUCAUCCCCCUUCCUCACCUCUCGUCCCCCUUCCUCUCCUCCACCGCUGACGCUUGCUGCCUGUCCAUCUUGGUUUAAUGUCCCCCUCAAUGUGUAUAUUCACCAUCAUUGUUUAUUUUAACAUUCUAAGACUUGUAAUAAAAAAAUAAGAAGAAAUGUACCUUUUUUUUGUGAUAAUUGAUAGUCAGGUUGGGGGGGUACAACUCUUUUGGUUGUGAGGGUGAAUUUGUAAGUUUUUUAACAUUUUCCGUGUUGAAUGCUCCGUGUUUUAUGUAUGGUUCACAGGACCAUUGCUAGGGUACUAUAGGGGAGAAGACCACUUUUUUAAGUUAAAGUUCCAGGGUGCUUUGGGACCUGAAAAGUUGUCUUUAUAAUAUCCCAAUUUAUAUCUAUUUAUGUACAUCGGAGCAUUAGUUUGGGCAUAAAAUAUUAGUUUGAUUUGAUGAGUGUGUGUACAAUGAUCUCAGUAGUAAUCUGGUCUAUAUUGCUCUGAGAAACAGACCAGUAUGUUUAACACACUUGUUCUGAUGAGAAUGUUUUUUUAAAGUAUUUUUAAACGCUGAGUUUUAAGUUUUUAAUCAUUUUUAAAGUGAUUGCACUUUCAUCACCCUGUUUUUAUUCCACUUUUUAAAUAGUUUAUAGUGUCACCUUAUCUGUUCAAUCAGUGGUUCUCAAUCCUGGUCCUGGGGUCCCGAAGGGGGACACAUUUUAGUUUUUGCUGAUUUUAAAAUGAUCAACUGAUCAUCAAGCUUGGAUGAUUUGAAUCAGGUGUGUAGUGCUAGAGCAAAAACAGAAAUGUGUCCCCCUUUGGGUCCCCAGGACCAGGAUUGAGAACCACUGUAUUAGCUAGCUAGGUGACUCUACUAUGUUCUAGAACACAGCCAGAGAAUUCUACUGUAGAACACUAGAAGUUCUAGAACACGGCCAGUGGUUCUAUGUAAAACGUGCUGAAGAGUUCCAUUGACUUUGUGUGCAUGUAGCAAAUAAGAUCUAAAUGAAACAUAAAGACCAAGCCAGAAGGUUGCUCUUGGCUCGCUAACACUGUUAGCCAAUUUCCUACCCGGGAGACUCAGCCUGGGGGCUUAUUCAGUUUCGCAUAGAGGGCUAGCUUCACAUUUCUCUCCACACACUGUAGACUGUGUGGCAACUCUUUUCCUUUCCUCCCCUCAGGCCUUAUUUAAGGCUGUCGACUGUCAUCCUGUCUUACAUACAUCCCUCCACCCUUCUCUCCCUCCAUCUCUCCAUCCUCCAUCCUUCUCUCGCUCCAUCCCUCCAUCCUUCUCUCCAUCCCUCCACCCCUCCAUGCCUCCACCCUUCUCUCCCUCCAUGCCUCCACCCUUCUCUCCCUCCAUGCCUCCACCCUUCUGUCCUGCCAUCCCUCCACCCCAUCCCUCCAUCCCUCCACCCCUCAUCCCUCUGCCCUUCUCCCCCCUUUAAGAGUUUCUCUCUGAGCCCCAAGCCACUUAAGAAAGAGAGAGUUAGAGAGAGAGGGAUACUGUAGGAUCCAUCCCAAAUGACACCCUUCUCCCUAUAUAGACCAGGGUCCAUAUGACUCUAGUCUAAAGUAGUGCCCUACA